AUCAGGAAAGUUGAAAUGCCUCUACAGAUCAAUAUCUUUCUAUGGCUAAUGAUAAAAAAUAGUGUCCUAACCAAAGACAAUUUUCUUCCGAGGGGAUGGACUAGGAAUAGUCAAUGUUACUUUUGUGGCCAUGAUGAAACUAUGAAGCACAUUUUCUUUGAUUGUAAUUUGGCAAAAUUUUCCUCAAGGGUUGUCCUUGGCGCUUUUGGUUUAGUCGGCCCCAUGAGGAUAUUGAUGACCUGGUGGGGCCCUGGCUAA
rnacentral:rRNA from 1 species